GACGUAGGAGGCGAGCGUUGUCCGGAUUCAUUGGGCGUAAAGAGCUCGUAGGCGGCUUGUCACGUCGGGUGUGAAAGCCCGGGGCUUAACCCCGGGUCUGCAUUCGAUACGGGCAGGCUAGAGUGUGGUAGGGGAGAUCGGAAUUCCUGGUGUAGCGGUGAAAUGCGCAGAUAUCAGGAGGAACACCGGUGGCGAAGGCGGUUCUCUGGGCAUGUCCUGACGCUGAGGAGCGAAAGUGUGGGGAGCGAACAGG
rnacentral:rRNA from 1 species